rnacentral:rRNA from 1 species
GUCGGGAAUUUUGCGCAAUGGACGAAAGUCUGACGCAGCAACGCCGCGUGAGGGAUGACGGCCUUCGGGUUGUAAACCUCUUUUAUCAGGGAAGAUAAUGACGGUACCUGAUGAAUAAGUCACGGCUAACUACGUGCCAGCAGCCGCGGUAAUACGUAGGUGACAAGCGUUGUCCGGAUUUACUGGGCGUAAAGAGCGCGCAGGCGGUCGAUCAAGUCGAGUGUGAAAGCCCCCGGCUCAACUGGGGAGGGUCAUUCGAUACUGAUCGACUCGAAGGCAGGAGAGGGUAGUGGAAUUCCCGGUGUAGUGGUGAAAUGCGUAGAUAUCGGGAGGAACACCAGUGGCGAAGGCGACUACCUGGCCUGUUCUUGACGCUGAGGCGCGAAAGCUAGGGGAGCAAAC